UACGUAGGGGGCAAGCGUUGCUCGGAAUCACUGGGCGUAAAGCGCACGUAGGCGGAUUGUUAAGUCAGGGGUGAAAUCCUGGAGCUCAACUCCAGAACUGCCUUUGAUACUGGCGAUCUCGAGUCCGGGAGAGGUGAGUGGAACUGCGAGUGUAGAGGUGAAAUUCGUAGAUAUUCGCAAGAACACCAGUGGCGAAGGCGGCUCACUGGCCCGGUACUGACGCUGAGGUGCGAAAGCGUGGGGAGCAAACAGG
rnacentral:rRNA from 1 species